UUUUUAGCAUAAGUAUGUUGCAUGUAACAUUUAGGAUAUACUUAUGCUAAAA
rnacentral:pre_miRNA from 1 species